AGAGCGAACGCUGGCGGCAGGCCUAACACAUGCAAGUCGAGCGCCCGUAGCAAUACGGGAGCGGCAGACGGGAUAGUAACACGUGGGAACGCGCCCUUCGGUUCGGAAUAACUCAGGGAAACUUGAGCUAAUACCGGAUACGCCCUUACGGGGAAAGAUUUAUUGCCGAAGGAACGGCCCGCGUCCGAUUAGCUAGUUGGUGAGGUAACGGCUCACCAAGGCGACGAUCGGUAGCUGGUCUGAGAGGACGAUCAGCCACACUGGGACUGAGACACGGCCCAGACUCCUACGGGAGGCAGCAGUGGGGAAUAUUGCGCAAUGGGCGAAAGCCUGACGCAGCGACGCCGCGUGGGGGAUGAAGGCCUUCGGGUUGUAACCCUUUCAGCAGGGACGAAGCGAAAGUGACGGUACCUGCAGAAGAAGCGCCGGCUAACGUACGUGCCAGCAGCCGC
rnacentral:rRNA from 1 species